rnacentral:rRNA from 1 species
AGCGUAAUCACUUGUUCUUUAAAUGAGGACUAGUAUGAAUGGCACCACGAGGGUUACACUGUCUCCUUUUUCUAAUCAGUGAAACUAAUCUCCCCGUGAAGAAGCGGGAAUAAACAUAUAAGACGAGAAGACCCUAUGGAGCUUUAAACUAAAUAACACCUGCCUCUUAAUACUACCACUUCAGAGUAAUAAACACUUAUUAUGGCCUAUUGAUUAUUAGUUUUAGGUUGGGGUGACCGCGGAGUAAAAAACAACCUCCACAUUGAAUGGGGAACACCCCCUGAGUCACGAGCCACAACUCUAUGCACCAAUAAAUUGACAUUCAUUGACCCAAUAUAUUGAUCAACGAACCAAGUUACCCUAGGGAUAACAGCGCAAUCCGCCUUAAGAGCCCCUAUCGACAGGCGGG